rnacentral:rRNA from 1 species
GAGGAGACGCUGGCGGCGUGGAUUAGGCAUGCAAGUCGAACGGUAUCAUCCUUCGGGGGUGAGAGAGUGGCGAACUGGUGAGUAACACGUAGGUUAUCUACCCUCAAGACGGGGACAACCCAGGGAAACUUGGGCUAAUACCGGAUGUGAGCAACUUUAGUUGUUUGAAAGGUGGCGUAAGCUGUCGCUUGGGGAUGAGCCUGCGUCCUAUUAGUUAGUUGGUGAGGUAACGGCUCACCUAGGCAAUGAUAGGUAGGCGGCCUUAACGGGUGGUCGCCCACACUGGGAUUGAGAUACGGCCCAGACUCCUACGGGAGGCAGCAGUCGAGAAUAGUCUACAAUGGUCGGAAGACUGAUAGUGCGACGCCGCGUGAACGAUGAAUCCCUUCGGGGUGUAAAGUUCUUUUAUAUGUGAGCAGUGCUUCUUAUAUUAACAGUAUGGGGAGAGAGAUAUUAGCAUAUGAAUAAGCAACGGCUAACUCCGUG